AGCAGUAGCCGCGGUAAUACGGAGGGGGCUAGCGUUGUUCGGAAUUACUGGGCGUAAAGCGCACGUAGGCGGCUUUGUAAGUUAGAGGUGAAAGCCUGAUGCUCAACAUCAGAAUUGCCUUUAAGACUGCAUCGCUUGAACGUCGGAGAGGUGAGUGGAAUUCCGAGUGUAGAGGUGAAAUUCGUAGAUAUUCGGAAGAACACCAGUGGCGAAGGCGGCUCACUGGACGACUGUUGACGCUGAGGUGCGAAAGCGUGGGGAGCAAACAGGAUUAGAUACCCCAGUAGUCCCUGUCUCUUAUAC
rnacentral:rRNA from 1 species